rnacentral:rRNA from 1 species
AACGAACGCUGGCGGCAUGCCUAACACAUGCAAGUCGAACGAAGCCUUCGGGCUUAGUGGCGCACGGGUGCGUAACGCGUGGGAAUCUGCCCUUUGGUUCGGAAUAACAGUUGGAAACGACUGCUAAUACCGGAUGAUGACGAAAGUCCAAAGAUUUAUCGCCAGAGGAUGAGCCCGCGUAGGAUUAGCUAGUUGGGGUGGUAAAGGCGCACCAAGGCGACGAUCCUUAGCUGGUCUGAGAGGAUGAUCAGCCACACUGGGACUGAGACACGGGCCAGACUCCUACGGGAGGCAGCAGUGGGGAGUAUUGGACAAUGGGCGAAAGCCUGAUCCAGCAAUGCCGCGUGAGUGAUGAAGGCCCUAGGGUUGUAAAGCUCUUUUACCCGGGAUGAUAAUGACAGUACCGGGAGAAUAAGCCCCGGCUAACUCCGUGCCAGCCGCCGCGGUAA